rnacentral:lncRNA from 1 species
CCAGUUCAGGGGCAGGACGUUGUCCCCACUACCGGGUGAUCGAGUCUCUGGACUUUGGGGGCCUCAGUUUCCCUAUAUAAGCAACAGGGUGAGGUGCAUACGAUCAGGGGGGGGGGGGAACGCCGCUUCAAAUCCCAGUCCUACCAUUGCUGAAAGAAGAGACCGAGGGUCAGAGGGGCCCCACAGUCAGCCAAGAGGCCGUCAGGACAGAGCCCCGGAGCAGGGGGUGCAAGCCCCGUUCAGUGUAGACUGACCACCGGCCACAGCUCCACCCUGCAAAGUCGCUGGGCUCCUGCAGCCCUGACGGGUUCCCUGCACUUUGACCAGAGUCAGGCAGGACGGCAGAGUGCCCGGCACGCACCCCCGGCCGUGGUGAGCCUCGGUGCCCCCAUCGGUCAGUGGGGCCUGGGCAUUGCCAUCCUACUGACAUUCUCUGGCCCUCGUCACGUCCCCGUUGGGAAGUGGCCCGGGAGGUCCUCCCAGCUCUGUAACGUCCUCGUUCAGAGGAGGGAACAGGCUCAGAGGGGCUUGGUGGGAUUUGAACCCAGGCCCGGCGGAACAGCCCCCGACCCAGACUCGCAGGCGAGGCCUGCAGCAGAAAGGAGCUCUCUGGGGUAGUAGCCGCAAAGGGUGGGCUGAGCCAGGCGGUGGGGGCGCUGCGGCAGGGCCUGCGGUGUGACUCUGGGCAGGGACACCCCGUUUCUGGGGUGCUGGGGAGCCUGACCACAGCUGGAAAGAGGCUUCCGGUGAGUUCUGGCUCCGUGGGGCUGGAGGCCCCGGGCCGAGGGACAGUGUGCAGCGGGCACGGUGCCUACCCUCCGCCCCGCCCGGGUAUCAUCUUUCUCCCUCCGCCUCUGGACUUUGUUUCCCGAGCUGAGGUGGGGCCAGGGAGGAGGGGGUGCCCCUGCCUCCCCCAGGCGGGGCCCUCUCCCCUGGCAACUUGUGGGCAGGGCGGCGCCAGGAGUCUCGGUGCCUGUGGACAGAGCCGGAGCCGGGCUCGGAGGCCACUGGGGCCCGGAGCCGGCAGGCGUCACCGGCCGCUACUCCGUGUCCGAGGCCCACUUCUUCAGCCCCGUCCUGCUGCACUCCGGCCUCGUGUGGACGGCGGACGGCCCUGCCCAGGCUGCUCCUGGGCAGAGGAAGAAGGAGCAGCGGUACGCCAGCAUCAACUCCCUAGACCGCAUCGACUCGGAGGUCCUGGAAGCCACGCGGGUGACCCACCACAAGAACGCCAUGGCACAGCGCUGGGAAGCGGGCAUCUUCAGCAAGGACUGAGCCGGCGGGUGGGGUGCUGUCACCCCUGCCCUGCAGCGCCGCGGGAGGGGAGACGGUGGCCGGUCCCCCCUGGCCCGUGGGAAGGAGGCCCCUGUGAGAAUCCAGGACCUGACGACCCGGGUCCUGGGCGCUGCUCCGGGGGCAGAUGCGCGUUCGGGUGGGAGGGGGUUCUCUUCUGUUUUUAUCUUCCUGGAGACGUUGUUCUUUCUGUGGCUAAAACUGGGGACAAAACGAGACCCGUGUCGAUUCUGCUUCUAAGGCUCUGCCCAAGCUCUCAGGUCAGAGAGGGAGGAGGCAGGUCCCUGCGCCCCCACCCUGGGACAGGACGCCCCUGCUGGUCUGAGGGCGGAGGGCUGCCCCUGGAGGAGCCGCAGGCCUGGGGCGCCCACUCCAAACCCCGACCCCGGGCACCUGGCGGGCGAGGGACAGAGAGGGGCCUGUCCGCUGCAGUCCACCGGCCCCGCGACCUGCCCACCCAGAUGCGAAGCGGGAGAGGCUGGGCGCCCCGCCUGCCCCCUGGUGUUCGUGCCUCUGCCCACCCCGGGGCUGGCAGCGUCAGGGCUCGCCCAGUGGGUGAGGCCCGGGUCCCCGUGUGCCCCCCGAGGGCAUCAGCCGCGGCCCCUCCUGGUGUCGGCGGGAGGAGGGGUCAUUAGUCGGGCUCGCGGGGAGACGGUCAUCCUGGGCUCCAUCCUGGCUCUGCCGCCGCCCUCCGUGUGGCCCGGGGGUCCCCAGGGCGCCUGUGCCCCGGGUGGUGACCCGACCGCCCCCCGGGGGCGCUCGGCUCUAACUCAGCGCCUCCGCCCCAGGCCCUCCCGCUGCCCCCUCCGCAGCUGCUGCGGGGAAAACCGACGCAGCUAUUUCUAGAAAUCCGUGUUGAAGGGUCCCUACGCGGGCGGGGGUGGAGGGUGCGGGAGGCCUGAAAUAGCGGGGGGGGGGGGGGGGGGGCGGGGGUGAGGGGCAGCGCGGUGGGCUCUGAGGACCCCACUGGGGCCCGGGGGCGGGGCUCCGAGGGCGGAGCUAUGGGUUCCGUGGGCGGGGCUAUGGGCCCGGGGGCGGGGCUAUGGACCCUAGGGGCGGGGCUUGACCUCGGGGGCGGAGCUAUGGGCCCCAGGAGCGGGGCUGGGGCUCUGUGGGCGGGGCUAUGGGCCCGGGGGCGGGGCUGGAGCCUCGAGGGCGGAGCUAUGGGCCCGGGGGCGGGGCUGGGGCUCUGUGGGCGGGGCUAUGGGCCCGGGGGCGGGACUGGGCUCUGUGGGCGGGGCUAUGGGCCCGGGGGCGGGGCUUGGCCUCGGGGGCAGAGCUAUGGGCCCGGGGGCGGGGCGGGGUUCUGUGGGCGGGGCUAUGGGCCCGGGGGCGGGGCUUGGCCUCGGGGGCAGAGCUAUGGGCCCCAGGAGCGGGGCUGGGGCUCUGUGGGCGGGGCUAUGGGCCCGGGGGCGGGGCUGGGCUCUGUGGGCGGGGCUAUGGGCCCGGGGGCGGGACUGAGCUCUGUGGGCGGGGCUGGGCUCUGUG